CCACAGCAGAAUGACUCGGCAAGGAGAAGGGCUUGUCGGGUCUAGCUGGGAGUGGAGGUGGGCCAGGCUGCCAGAGGGAGGCUUUGGGUGGUGCCCUUAAGAGUCUCCUUCAUGAGCUGUUUUGCACUGUGAGGUAAGCAAGAGGGCAAGGAAGGCCAUUGCUGGGGAAUGGGCCGCCUGGCUCACACCUGCAGGCAGCUGCUAAGCCAAGAGUGGGUGGGUGCUGCUGAGGGAUUGGGCUUCUAGUUUGUUUGUUUUUAUUUUUUUAUUUUUUUGAGAUGGAGUUUCGUGCUUGUUGCCCAGGCUGGAGUGCAGUGGUGCAAUCUCGGCUCACCGCAACCUCUGCCUCCCGGGUUCAAGCGAUUCUCCGGCCUCAGCCUCCCUAAUAGUUGGGAUUACAGGCACCCGCCACCACGCCCAGCUAAUUUUUUGUAUUUUUAGUAGAGACGGGGUUUCGUCCUGUUACCCAGGCUGGUUUUGAACUCCUGGCCUCAAGCAAUCCACUCAUCUCGGCCUCCCAAAGUGCCAGGAUUAUAGGCCUGAGCCACUGCGUACAGCUUGUUUUUAAAUAAAGCAGUUUUUAAAACUACUGUUGCAACCUUUUAGAGGGAGGUAAACUGAAUAUGGUGGAUUUUGAAUGACUAUUUUUUUGUUUUAUGAAAGAGGAUAAUAAUAGAAUAGAAAAUAUGAGAAUGUUUGGCCGGGUGCGGUGGCUCACACCUGUAAUCCCAGCAGUUUGGGAGGCCGAGGCAGGUGGAUCACCUGAGGUCAGGAGUUCGAGACCAGCCUGACCAACAUGACGAAACCCCGUCUCUACUAAAAAUACAAAAUUAGCCGGGCAUGAUGGUGCACGCCUGUAAUCUCAGCUACUUGGGAGGCUGAGACAGGACAAUCGCUUGAACCUGGGAGGCGGA
rnacentral:lncRNA from 1 species